rnacentral:rRNA from 1 species
CCUACGGGUGGCUGCAGUGGGGAAUAUUGGACAAUGGGCGAAAGCCUGAUCCAGCCAUGCCGCGUGUGUGAAGAAGGCCUUCGGGUUGUAAAGCACUUUCAGUGGGGAAGAAAGCCUUGGGGCUAAUACCCUCGAGGAAGGACAUCACCCACAGAAGAAGCACCGGCUAACUCCGUGCCAGCAGCCGCGGUAAUACGGAGGGUGCGAGCGUUAAUCGGAAUUACUGGGCGUAAAGCGCGCGUAGGCGGUCUGAUAAGCCGGUUGUGAAAGCCCCGGGCUCAACCUGGGAACGGCAUCCGGAACUGUCAGGCUAGAGUGCAGGAGAGGAAGGUAGAAUUCCCGGUGUAGCGGUGAAAUGCGUAGAGAUCGGGAGGAAUACCAGUGGCGAAGGCGGCCUUCUGGACUGACACUGACGCUGGGGUGCGAAAGCGUGGGUAGCAAACAGGAUUAGAUACCCUUGUAGUC